ACACGUACUACAAUGGCCGGUACAAGGGCAGCCACUCAGCGAUGAGGCGCUAAUCCCAUAAAAGCCGGUCUCAGUCCGGAUCGCAGUCUGCAACUCGACUGCGUGAAGUUGGAAUCGCUAGUAAUCGUAGAUCAGCAUGCUACGGUGAAUACGUUCCCGGGUCCUU
rnacentral:rRNA from 1 species